CCUACGGGAGGCUGCAGUGGGGAAUAUUGCACAAUGGGCGCAAGCCUGAUGCAGCCAUGCCGCGUGUGUGAAGAAGGCCUUCGGGUUGUAAAGCACUUUCAGCGGGGAGGAAGGCGUUAAGGUUAAUAACCUUGUCGAUUGACGUUACCCGCAGAAGAAGCACCGGCUAACUCCGUGCCAGCAGCCGCGGUAAUACGGAGGGUGCAAGCGUUAAUCGGAAUUACUGGGCGUAAAGCGCACGCAGGCGGUCUGUCAAGUCGGAUGUGAGAUCCCCGGGCUCAACCUGGGAACUGCAUUCGAAACUGGCAGGCUAGAGUCUUGUAGAGGGGGGUAGAAUUCCAAGUGUAGCGGUGAAAUGCGUAGAGAUCUGGAGGAAUACCGGUGGCGAAGGCGGCCCCCUGGACAAAGACUGACGCUCAGGUGCGAAAGCGUGGGGAGCAAACAGGAUUAGAUACCCGAGUAGUC
rnacentral:rRNA from 1 species